CAAAAUGUAGCUUAACUAAAGCCUCUCGAUUACACCGAGAAAACGUCUGUGUAACCCAGAUCAUUUUGA
rnacentral:tRNA from 1 species